rnacentral:rRNA from 1 species
UACGUAGGGACCAAGCGUUGUUCGGAUUUACUGGGCGUAAAGGGCGCGUAGGCGGCGUGGUAAGUCACUUGUGAAAUCUCUGAGCUUAACUCAGAACGGCCAAGUGAUACUGCUGUGCUAGAGUGCAGAAGGGCAAUCGGAAUUCUUGGUGUAGCGGUGAAAUGCGUAGAUAUCAAGAGGAACACCUAAGGUGAAGACGGGUUGCUGGGCUGACACUGACGCUGAUGCGCGAAAGCCAGGGAGCAAACGGG